rnacentral:rRNA from 1 species
CCGAGCGGUAGAGAUUCUUCGGAAUCUUGAGAGCGGCGUACGGGUGCGGAACACGUGUGCAACCUGCCUUUAUCUGGGGGAUAGCCUUUCGAAAGGAAGAUUAAUACCCCAUAAUAUAUUGAAUGGCAUCAUUUGAUAUUGAAAACUCCGGUGGAUAGAGAUGGGCACGCGCAAGAUUAGAUAGUUGGUGAGGUAACGGCUCACCAAGUCAACGAUCUUUAGGGGGCCUGAGAGGGUGAUCCCCCACACUGGUACUGAGACACGGACCAGACUCCUACGGGAGGCAGCAGUGAGGAAUAUUGGACAAUGGGUGAGAGCCUGAUCCAGCCAUCCCGCGUGAAGGACGACGGCCCUAUGGGUUGUAAACUUCUUUUGUAUAGGGAUAAACCUAGAUACGUGUAUCUAGCUGAAGGUACUAUACGAAUAAGCACCGGCUAACUCCGUGCCAGCAGCCGCGGUAAUACGGAGGGUGCAAGCGUUAUCCGGAUUUAUUGGGUUUAAAGGGUCCGUAGGCGGAUUUGUAAGUCAGUGGUGAAAUCUCACAGCUUAACUGUGAAACUGCCAUUGAUACUGCAAGUCUUGAGUGUUGUUGAAGUAGCUGGAAUAAGUAGUGUAGCGGUGAAAUGCAUAGAUAUUACUUAGAACACCAAUUGCGAAGGCAGGUUACUAAGCAACAACUGACGCUGAUGGACGAAAGCGUGGGGAGCGAACAGGAUUAGAUACCCUGGUAGUCCACGCCGUAAACGAUGCUAACUCGUUUUUGGGAUUUAAAUUUCAGAGACUAAGCGAAAGUGAUAAGUUAGCCACCUGGGGAGUACGAACGCAAGUUUGAAACUCAAAGGAAUUGACGGGGGCCCGCACAAGCGGUGGAUUAUGUGGUUUAAUUCGAUGAUACGCGAGGAACCUUACCAAGGCUUAAAUGGGAAAUGACAGGUUUAGAAAUAGACUUUUCUUCGGACAUUUUUCAAGGUGCUGCAUGGUUGUCGUCAGCUCGUGCCGUGAGGUGUUAGGUUAAGUCCUGCAACGAGCGCAACCCCUGUCACUAGUUGCCAUCAUUAAGUUGGGGACUCUAGUGAGACUGCCUACGCAAGUAGAGAGGAAGGUGGGGAUGACGUCAAAUCAUCACGGCCCUUACGCCUUGGGCCACACACGUAAUACAAUGGCCGGUACAGAGGGCAGCUACACUGCGAAGUGAUGCAAAUCUCGAAAGCCGGUCUCAGUUCGGAUUGGAGUCUGCAACUCGACUCUAUGAAGCUGGAAUCGCUAGUAAUCGCGCAUCAGCCAUGGCGCGGUGAAUACGUUCCCGGGCCUUGUACACACCGCCCGUCAAGCCAUGGAAGUCUGGGGUACCUGAAGUCGGUGACCGUAACAGGAGC